UGCCUUUCGGGGAUGUUAACACGGGUGGUGCGCGGGUGUCGUCCUCUCGUGUCGAGAGAUGUUGGGUUAACUCCCGCCACGAGCGCCCCCCACGUCUUUAGUUGGUUUUAUAGGUACACUUAUAAAGACCUCUCUGACGCGAGACUGCCGGUGAUAAACCGGAGGAAGGUGUGGACGACCUCGAAUCAUCAUGCCCCUUAUGCUCUGGGCUACACACGUGUUACAAUGGGGAGGACAGCGAGCAGCGAGACAGCGAUUUUAAGCAAAUCUCUAAAACCUAUCCUCGGUUCGGAUUGCACUCUGCAACUCAAGUGGAUGAAGUCGGAAUCGCUAAUAAACGCGCAUCAGCACACUGCGUUCAAUACCUU
rnacentral:rRNA from 1 species